AUACGGAGGAUCCGAGCGUUAUCCGGAUUUAUUGGGUUUAAAGGGUGCGCAGGCGGCCAUUUAAGUCAGCGGUUAAAUCGUGGGGCUCAACCCCAUUCUGCCGUUGAUACUGGGUGGCUUGAUUGCGGUCGAGGUUGGCGGAAUUCGUUGUGUAGCGGUGAAAUGCAUAGAUAUGACGAAGAACACCGAUUGCGUAGGCAGCUGACCAGACCGCAAAUGACGCUCAUGCACGAAAGUGCGGGAUCGAACAGGAUUAGAUACCCUGGUAGUCCGCACAGUAAACGAUGAAUACUUGUUUUCGGCGAUAUAAUGUCGGAGGCAAAGCGAAAGCGAUAAGUAUUCCACCUGGGGAGUACGCCGGCAACGGUGAAACUCAAAUGAAUUGGCGGGG
rnacentral:rRNA from 1 species